UUUUUCCCCACCGCAGCUCUGGUGGUGUCUUACUGGCUGCAAGCCUCUGCCUACUUUCCUGCGCGCCGUUCCCUGCCAGUUCCUGUUGCCGGGUUUAUCUUCUCACGGCCUCGAGAUGGUGGUGAACGUGGCACGGAGGAGCCGGGCCUUCCCACCCUGUGGGCCCGAGCUCCGGAAGGCCCCCUCGGCAGUGAGAGGGGCGGGAGCCCGCGGGGGCCGCGCCCUUCUCUCGCUUCGGCCUGCGCAACGCUGCGCUCUGGGCUGACAGGUGAGUGUUGCAGGCAGGCGGCCGGGUUUACGGAAGGGGUGGGGGUUUGGGAACCGGUCUCCUGGGGGAUACGGGGAUGAAGUCCUGGGCCUGAAGUGUCUUAAUUUGGGGGAGGCCGCAUGCUGGUGUCAGGAUGGCCUCCAGUUGAAUCUGUGACAUUUACCAGCUAGGUGAUUUUGGGACUGGUGACUACGCGCGAGGCCUCUGGAUGUCACCCUGGUCGACACGGUUUUCAGAAGGACGGGUUUUAGGCAUUCAGACCCUUGCGUGCAUCCCAGCUUGUUGCUUUCAGCCUCGCUAAGUGACUAAGCGACCUUCAGGAAGUAACUUAAUCGGUCUAAACCUCUUACCUGUAAUAGGCGGAUAAAACGGUCCCAUCAAGAUUGAGAAAAAGCACACCAAAUGUUGGUACAGCGUGGGCAGUGGGGCCUACAGGAUGACUUAGUCUACAGAGAUCCCGGCGUACUUAAGCAGGUAGUAAUGAUGGACAGGUGAGGCUUUAGGCGGCCGCCCUGGGAUCUGAAUUGCCCCUUGGCCCUUAUCGAAGCUGCAGCUGCUUCCGCAUAGCUGCUGUGGUCAAAAAGGAGCCCAGAGUGACAGUUUUCCUUGACGGUCGCCGUUCUGUUUGUUGUAACUGAUCUGCAACAUUUUGGGAAAAUACAGUUCCAUUGUACCUCCCAUCUUUCAGCUGUAGCCAGAAACCUUUAUCAAAAUGGGCUAGUUUCCACAGAACAGCAGAACGGUUGGGGGUUUGCAUGUACAGUAAACCAGCAUAAGACUCGUACUGGGAAAAUCUAGCUGGGAUGUGACACAGCUUAACUGAUAGCUUAAGGCAUCAGUAUUGGGACCAAAGGCUGGUCAGAUUUCUAUCAUUCUGAGGACCAAAUGAUGGGAACAAUAAAAUUGUUCAUGAAAGUUGUUCUCAUUUUGCUGUCCAGAUGAAGACUCUUAAGAUGACAGAAGGUGAAUUUUUCUGGUGAUCGAGGACUCCUGGGGUCAUGAGAGUGAUGAAAUGCAGGGGACCUGGUGGCCCCCAAGUUUCCUGGCAGUGUGUGAUACUGAGGUGAGCUUGUUUCUGGAGCUGUGCUUUAAGGUAAAAUUGAUCAGCUUAAUCCUCCUGAUCCCUUUCCCAUCGGACCUGAACACUGGUCUUGGUGGUCGUAAAAGGAGGAAAAGUAAUAGUGAAGCUGGCCUAAAUGUUGUCAUCUGGUAUAUGGCAUGUGGGCUAGUUUCAGACAGGUUCUGAGAUGGUUGGAUCUCUGAAAUCGUAAAAUGAAGUAUAAUCUUAGGCUAAGGGAAGGAUGUGUGUGAAGCUCUGGAGGUUGCUAUAGUAAUAGCUGACCUAUUACUGCAUUUGGGAGGGAUCUGUCAUAGCUUCCUUGCCUCUUAAUUAAGGGUAGUGUUUUUUUCUUUUAGAUUCAUGUGUUACAUGUAAAGCUGUCCUCAGUUGUGACUAUGGACCUAUGGAGUUGGGACAAUCUCUAUGGGAAGCAGAAGGCAAGACCCCGGUCAUUUUAGGUAGAAACAACAGCAUGCUAAUGCAAAAAAUUAUGCAAUGUGCUACUGAACUUCAGAGGUGAUCAAUAAAAGAAUAAAGACUAGUAAAAGU
rnacentral:sRNA from 1 species